GGUCUUAUAUUCAAUAAUGAUAUUAAAUUGCAAAUUUAAAGGAGGGGUUCCCCUAAGGCUU
rnacentral:tRNA from 1 species